AACGAACGCUGGCGGCAUGCCUAACACAUGCAAGUCGAACGAGACCUUCGGGUCUAGUGGCGCACGGGUGCGUAACGCUUGUGAACCUGCCCUUAGGUUCGGAAUAACUCCCCGAAAGGGGUGCUAAUACCGGAUAAUGUCUUCGGACCAAAGAUUUAUCGCCUUUGGAUGGGCCCGCGUUGGAUUAGCUAGUUGGUAGGGUAAAAGCCUACCAAGGCGACGAUCCAUAGCUGGUCUGAGAGGAUGAUCAGCCACACUGGGACUGAGACACGGCCCAGACUCCUACGGGAGGCAGCAGUGGGGAAUAUUGGACAAUGGGCGAAAGCCUGAUCCAGCAAUGCCGCGUGAGUGAUGAAGGCCUUAGGGUUGUAAAGCUCUUUUACCCGGGAUGAUAAUGACAGUACCGGGAGAAUAAGCUCCGGCUAACUCCGUG
rnacentral:rRNA from 1 species